AACGAACGCUGGCGGCAUGCCUAACACAUGCAAGUCGAACGAGACCUUCGGGUCUAGUGGCGCACGGGUGCGUAACGCGUGGGAAUCUGCCCUUGGGUUCGGAAUAACAGUUGGAAACGACUGCUAAUACCGGAUGAUGACGUAAGUCCAAAGAUUUAUCGCCCAAGGAUGAGCCCGCGUAGGAUUAGCUAGUUGGUGAGGUAAAGGCUCACCAAGGCGACGAUCCUUAGCUGGUCUGAGAGGAUGAUCAGCCACACUGGGACUGAGACACGGCCCAGAAUCCUACGGGAGGCAGCAGUGGGGAAUAUUGGACAAUGGGCGAAAGCCUGAUCCAGCAAUGCCGCGUGAGUGAUGAAGGCAUUAGGGUUGUAAAGCGCUUUUACCCGGGAUGAUAAUGACAGUACCGGGAGAAUAAGCUCCGGCUAACUCCGUG
rnacentral:rRNA from 1 species